rnacentral:rRNA from 1 species
UACGUAGGGUGCGAGCGUUAAUCGGAAUUACUGGGCGUAAAGUGUGCGCAGGCGGCCGAGCAAGUCGAGUGUGAAAGCCCCGGGCUUAACUUGGGAAUUGCGCUCGAAACUACUUGGCUGGAGUGUGGCAGAGGAAGGUGGAAUUCCAGGUGUAGCGGUGAAAUGCGUAGAGAUCGGGAGGAACACCAGUGGCGAAGGCGGCUACCUGGACCAGCACUGACACUGAAGCACGAAAGCGUGGGGAGCAAACAGG